AAAAAUUUCUAUGUGUAUUACAUCGUCAUAAACUUCUAUUUCAUUACAUCAAAGGAUAAUUUUUAAUACGGUAAUCAAUGUCUAUGACCGGGGGAUUCGGUUCCACAUGGCGGCCGUCGACGGUUACGCGCUGGAUUCCUCCUUCCUCUAGCUUCCGGCGGCGGUUGUUCUUCCUCGGGUGGUGAUUGUUGUUCUUCCGGUUCGGCAUCUGCUUGUCGGACUUGGGACGAUGAUCCACCUUCAAAGAAUAGUGUAUGUGGAGGUGUUUGCAUCAUGAACGGCGACGGAGUUUGAA
rnacentral:lncRNA from 1 species